rnacentral:siRNA from 1 species
AGGAGAGCGAGAUGUACAAACACA